rnacentral:rRNA from 1 species
GAUGAACGCUGGCGGCGUGCCUAAUACAUGCAAGUCGAGCGAACAGACGAGGAGCUUGCUCCUCUGACGUUAGCGGCGGACGGGUGAGUAACACGUGGAUAACCUACCUAUAAGACUGGGAUAACUUCGGGAAACCGGAGCUAAUACCGGAUAAUAUAUUGAACCGCAUGGUUCAAUAGUGAAAGACGGUUUUGCUGUCACUUAUAGAUGGAUCCGCGCCGCAUUAGCUAGUUGGUAAGGUAACGGCUUACCAAGGCAACGAUGCGUAGCCGACCUGAGAGGGGGAUCGGCCACACUGGAAGUGGGACACGGUCCAGAGUCCUACGGGAGGGAGGAGUAGGGAAUCUUGCGCAAUGGGCGGAAGCUUGGCGGAGCAACGCCGCGUGAGUGAUGAAGGUCUUCGGAUCGUAAAACUCUGUUAUUAGGGAAGAACAAAUGUGUAAGUAACUAUGCACGUCUUGACGGUACCUAAUCAGAAAGCCACGGCUAACUACGUG